ACCUCGCUGACGAGUGCCAAAUAAUACGAAGCCUAGGUCCGAGGU
rfam:Schistosoma rodhaini strain Burundi genome assembly, scaffold: SROB_scaffold0004838